GCUAUAAUUUGGACAAAUUUGAAGUGAUUAAUGUUUAAAAUGUUGCAUUAAGUGUUAUUGAGUGUUAAAAUAAUCUGCAACGGUACGGUUAAACCAAAAUUAAUAGCGAAAAUCUUGCAAAGUGGUACAAGGUGGUGAGUGCAUAGGUUUUUUCGUCCACUAUUAGUUGAUUAUAAACAGCUGUAGCAACAACAAGGCAAAGAAUGUAUGAAUGUGCAAAAGAACAACGUUGGUGGUGAGCAUCUGCAGCAGAACGAAGUUCAAGAGUGACUCGCAUGUGAUUGGUGUUUAAUGUGUCCACCGUCCUUAAUAACGUUGCUUAAGCAUUGCUGAAUUAGCGUUAUUGCGCAGAUGUUUGGAACAUAUACCGUAAAAAAU